rnacentral:rRNA from 1 species
UACGAAGGGGGCUAGCGUUGCUCGGAAUCACUGGGCGUAAAGCGCACGUAGGCGGAUUGUUAAGUCAGGGGUGAAAUCCUGGAGCUCAACUCCAGAACUGCCUUUGAUACUGGCGAUCUUGAGUCCGGGAGAGGUGAGUGGAACUCCGAGUGUAGAGGUGAAAUUCGUAGAUAUUCGGAAGAACGCCAGUGGCGAAGGCGGCUCACUGGCCCGGUACUGACGCUGAGGUGCGAAAGCGUGGGGAGCAAACAGG